AAGACGCCACUCAGAAUGGAUUAGGACUCACUCUGCUCCGAUAUGACUGCAUGUUAACUUAGCUGAUAACAUCUUUGAAGAUCCUAUUUCCAAACAAGGUCACGUUCUCAGCUGAACUGGAAGGCAAUUCCAAAGGAUGAAGUCCAAAAAUACUUGAGCAAUGGAAGAUUUGUUAAAAACAAGUAUACAGCCUCCCAAGUAAAGAGUCAUAGAUCUCAGACUCAGUCUUCAGCGAGCAAAAUUUCCAGAUGGAAUUUAGUAACCUCAUUUUGUUCUACUUGGGCACUGGUUGAAGGGAUAAUUUCCUAUCUGCAGAAGAGGAUCCUGAGUCCGAGAUGUCAGUGAGACACCAUCCGAGCUUCAGGAGGAAUCCUGGGCAGACACUGUAUUGCUUGGAAUCACCUCUCAGGUCAUCUACCUGCAUUGGAAUCCUUGUCUCAGCGUCUGCUUCUAGGAGAACCCACACUAAGACCACCUGCCACAGGUGUAUUUUAGAGGAAGAAUCUUGCUACCUGCGUUAGCACCCUGGCUGAUCUCAUCUAAGGUGGGAA